rnacentral:rRNA from 1 species
CAGUCGCCACGGGAAUACGUAGGUGGCAAGCGUUGUCCGGAAUUAUUGGGCGUAAAGGGCUCGCAGGCGGUUUCUUAAGUCUGAUGUGAAAGCCCCCGGCUCAACCGGGGAGGGUCAUUGGAAACUGGGAAACUUGAGUGCAGAAGAGGAGAGUGGAAUUCCACGUGUAGCGGUGAAAUGCGUAGAAAUGUGGAGGAACACCAGUGGCGAAGGCGACUCUCUGGUCUGUAACUGACGCUGAGGAGCGAAAGCGUGGGGAGCGAACAGGAUUAGAUACCCGCGUAGUCCCUGUCUCUUAUAA